rnacentral:pre_miRNA from 1 species
ACAGAGGGUAUGAUCCAAAGUCCAGUGAAGUCAAUGGAAAGAUUCCCAUUGACAUCAGUGGGUUUUGGACCAGACCUAAGGUGU